GUGAAGAAGGCCUGCCGGUUGUAAAGCACUUUCAAUUGUGAAGAAAAGCUUGGGGAUAAUACCCCCGAGUCUUGACGUUAACUUUAGAAGAAACACCGGCUAACUCUGUGCCAGCAGCCGCGGUAAUAC
rnacentral:rRNA from 1 species